rnacentral:rRNA from 1 species
AAACGUAGGGGGCGAGCGUUGUCCGGAAUUAUUGGGCGUAAAGGGCGCGCAGGCGGCCCAAUAAGUCAGGUGUGAAAGGCUGCGGCUCAACCGCAGAGCGGCAUCUGAAACUGUUGGGCUUGAGUGCAGGAGAGGGGGACGGAAUUUCCGGUGUAGCGGUGGAAUGCGUAGAGAUCGGGAGGAACACCAGUGGCGAAGGCGGUCCUCUGGCCUGUAACUGACGCUGAGGCGCGAAAGCGUGGGGAGCGAACAGGAUUAGAUACCCUGGUAGUCCACGCCGUAAACGAUGAGUGCUAGGUGUUGGGGUCGAAAGAGGCCUCAGUGCCGAAGGAAACCCAAUAAGCACUCCGCCUGGGGAGUACGGUCGCAAGGCUGAA